UAGUGAUUCUUGGUCAUUUAGAGGAAGUAAAAGUCGUAACAAGGUUUCCGUAGGUGAACCUGCGGAAGGAUCAUUAGUGAUUGCCUUUAUAGGCUUAUAACUAUAUCCACUUACACCUGUGAACUGUUCUACUACUUGACGCAAGUCGAGUAUUUUUACAAACAAUGUGUAAUGAACGUCGUUUUAUUAUAACAAAAUAAAACUUUCAACAACGGAUCUCUUGGCUCUCGCAUCGAUGAAGAACGCAGCGAAUUGCGAUAAGUAAUGUGAAUUGCAGAAUUCAGUGAAUCAUCGAAUCUUUGAACGCAGCUUGCGCUCUCUGGUAUUCCGGAGAGCAUGCCUGUUUCAGUGUCAUGAAAUCUCAACCACUAGGGUUUCCUAAUGGAUUGGAUUUGGGCGUCUGCGAUUUCUGAUCGCUCGCCUUAAAAGAGUUAGCAAGUUUGACAUUAAUGUCUGGUGUAAUAAGUUUCACUGGGUCCAUUGUGUUGAAGCGUGCUUCUAAUCGUCCGCAAGGACAAUUACUUUGACUCUGGCCUGAAAUCAGGUAGGAAUACCCGCUGAACUUAAGCAUAUCAAUAAGCGGAGGAAAUC
rnacentral:rRNA from 1 species